rnacentral:rRNA from 1 species
GAUGAACGCUGGCGGCGUGCCUAAUACAUGCAAGUCGAGCGAACGGACGAGAAGCUUGCUUCUCUGAUGUUAGCGGCGGACGGGUGAGUAACACGUGGAUAACCUACCUAUAAGACUGGGAUAACUUCGGGAAACCGGAGCUAAUACCGGAUAAUAUUUUGAACCGCAUGGUUCAAAAGUGAAAGACGGUCUUGCUGUCACUUAUAGAUGGAUCCGCGCUGCAUUAGCUAGUUGGUAAGGUAACGGCUUACCAAGGCAACGAUGCAUAGCCGACCUGAGAGGGUGAUCGGCCACACUUGAACUGAGACACGGUCCAGACUCCUACGGGAGGCAGCAGUAGGGAAUCUUCCGCAAUGGGCGAAAGCCUGACGGAGCAACGCCGCGUGAGUGAUGAAGGUCUUCGGAUCGUAAAACUCUGUUAUUAGGGAAGAACAUAUGUGUAAGUAACUGUGCACAUCUUGACGGUACCUAAUCAGAAAGCCACGGCUAUCUACGUG